UUAACACAUGCAAGUCGAGGGGCAGCACAGGUAGCAAUACCGGGUGGCGACCGACGCACGGGUGAGUAACGCGUAUGCAACUUGCCUAUCAGAGGGGGAUAGCCUUUCGAAAGAAAGAUUAAUACCGGAUGGUAUAGUUUUCCCGCAUGGGAUGAUUAUUAAAGAAUUUCGGUUGUCGAUGGGGAUGCGUUCCAUUAGGCAGUUGGCGGGGUAACGGCCCACCAAACCAACGAUGGAUAGGGGUUCUGAGAGGAAGGUCCCCACAUUGGUACUGAGACACGGACCAAACUCC
rnacentral:rRNA from 1 species